GUUUGAUCCUGGCUCAGGAUGAACGCUGGCGGUAUGCUUAACACAUGCAAGUCGAACGGGAUGCUUAGGCAUCUAGUGGCGGACGGGUGAGUAACGCGUGAGAAUCUGGCUCCAGGUCGGGGAUAACAGUUGGAAACGACUGCUAAUACCGGAUGUGCCGAGAGGUGAAAGAUUUAUUGCCUGGAGAUGAGCUCGCGUCUGAUUAGCUAGUUGGUGGUGUAAGGGACCACCAAGGCGUCGAUCAGUAGCUGGUCUGAGAGGAUGAUCAGCCACACUGGGACUGAGACACGGCCCAACUCCUACGGGAGGCAGCAGUGGGGAAUUUUCCGCAAUGGGCGAAAGCCUGACGGAGCAAUACCGCGUGAGGGAGGAAGGCUCUUGGGUCGUAAACCUCUUUUCUCAAGGAAGAAGAAAGUGACGGUACUUGAGGAAUAAGCAUCGGCUAACUCCGUGCCAGCAGCCGCGGUAAUACGGAGGAUGCAAGCGUUAUCCGGAAUGAUUGGGCGUAAAGGGUCUGCAGGUGGAACUGAAAGUCUGCUGUUAAAGAGUUUGGCUUAACCAAAUAAAAGCGGUGGAAACUACAGAACUAGAGUGCGGUAGGGGCAAAAGGAAUUCCUGGUGUAGCGGUGAAAUGCGUAGAUAUCAGGAAGAACACCGGUGGCGAAAGCGUUUUGCUAGACCGUAACUGACACUGAGGGACGAAAGCUAGGGGAGCGAAUGGGAUUAGAUACCCCAGUAGUCCUAGCCGUAAACGAUGGAUACUAGGCGUGGCUUGUAUCGACCCGAGCCGUGCCGGAGCUAACGCGUUAAGUAUCCCGCCUGGRGAGUACGCACGCAAGUGUGAAACUCAAAGGAAUUGACGGGGGCCCGCACAAGCGGUGGAGUAUGUGGUUUAAUUCGAUGCAACGCGAAGAACCUUACCAAGACUUGACAUCCUGCGAAUCCCGGUGAAAGCUGGGAGUGCCUUAGGGAGCGCAGAGACAGGUGGUGCAUGGCUGUCGUCAGCUCGUGUCGUGAGAUGUUGGGUUAAGUCCCGCAACGAGCGCAACCCUCGUUUUUAGUUGCCAGCAUUAAGUUGGGCACUCUAGAGAGACUGCCGGUGACAAACCGGAGGAAGGUGAGGAUGACGUCAAGUCAGCAUGCCCCUUACGUCUUGGGCUACACACGUACUACAAUGCUACGGACAGAGGGCAGCAAGCCAGGGAUGGCAAGCGAAUCCAGAAACCGUAGCUCAGUUCAGAUCGAAGGCUGCAACUCGCCUUCGUGAAGGAGGAAUCGCUAGUAAUUGCAGGUCAGCAUACUGCAGUGAAUUCGUUCCCGGGCCUUGUACACACCGCCCGUCACACCAUGGAAGUUGGUCACGCCCGAAGUCAUUACCCCAACCGAAAGGAGGGGGAUGCCUAAGGUAGGACUGGUGACUGGGGUGAAGUCGUAACAAGGUAGCCGU
rnacentral:rRNA from 1 species